rnacentral:rRNA from 1 species
AUUGAACGCUGGCGGCAGGCUUAACACAUGCAAGUCGAGCGGGGUGAUGGUGCUUGCACUAUCACUUAGCGGCGGGCGGGUGAGUAAUGCUUAGGAAUCUGCCUAUUAGUGGGGGACAACAUCUCGAAAGGGAUGCUAAUACCGCAUACGCCCUACGGGGGAAAGCAGGGGAUCACUUGUGACCUUGCGCUAAUAGAUGAGCCUAAGUCGGAUUAGCUAGUUGGUGGGGUAAAGACCUACCAAGGCGACGAUCUGUAGCGGGUCUGAGAGGAUGAUCCGCCACACUGGGACUGAGACACGGCCCAGACUCCUACGGGAGGCAGCAGUGGGGAAUAUUGGACAAUGGGGGGAACCCUGAUCCAGCCAUGCCGCGUGUGUGAAGAAGGCCUUAUGGUUGUAAAGCACUUUAAGCGAGGAGGAGGCUCUUUUGGUUAAUACCCAAGACGAGUGGACGUUACUCGCAGAAUAAGCACCGGCUAACUCUGUGCCAGCAGCCGCGGUAA